rnacentral:rRNA from 1 species
GACGAACGCUGGCGGCGUGCUUAACACAUGCAAGUCGAACGGAAAGGCCCUGCUUUUGUUGGGUGCUCGAGUGGCGAACGGGUGAGUAACACGUGAGUAACCUGCCCUUGACUUUGGGAUAACUCUAGGAAACUGGGUCUAAUACCGGAUAGGAGCUCCUUCUGCAUGGUGUGGUUUGGAAAUUUUCGGCGGUUGGGGAUGGACUCGGGGCUUAUCCGCUUGUUGGUGGGGUAGUGGCUUACCAAGGCUUUGACGGGUCGCGGGCCUGAGAGGGUGACCGGCCACAUUGGGACGGGGAAACGGCCCAGACUCCUACGGGAGGAAGCAGGGGGGAAUAUUGCACAAUGGGCGGAGGCCGGAUGCAGCAACGCCGGGUGGGGAAGGACGGCCUUCGGGUUGUAAACCGCUUUCGCAUGGGACGAAGCGUGAGUGACGGUAAUGGGUAAAGAAGCACCGGCUAACUACGUG